ACCUCACUCCCGCUCACUUGUCGAAGCUCGUGUCAGUGCAGACUUCGUGUUCGUGCCUUGCCUUCCUUGCCGAUUAUGGAGCAGAGACGCAAAUCAUCCGCCGUGUGGGACCAUUUUGAUGUCCUGGAGAAUAAGGUGAAAUGUCGAAUUUGCCAAGUCAAUUCGCCAACAGAAGCACCACCACCAUGCUGAGGCAUUAUCGGGCCAAGCAUGAGAAUGAAGUUCGCGAUACACCCGGUAUUACGCCAGGUUCCAGGAAGCAGCUGUACUGGAAGGACCAACACACUUCUUUCCCAAACCUCUCCCACCUCGCAAAGGAGUUCCUUUGUACGCCAGCCUCAUCCGUCCGUCCCUUGUGAGCGUGUGUUCUUCACAGCAGGAGAAAUUGCUUGUAAAAGACGCAACAGGCUGAAGUUUAAAACAUUGGAGCAUCUUAUUUUUCUCAAUAAAAAUGUGAAAUCAAAGCCCACAAGCAUCCUCAUUCAAAUGAUCUUCACAUUAUUUGAACACAUUGAAUGUUGCAAA